GAGAAGAAUGAGAGAGACUUAAGGAGGUGUGGAGAGAAUGCUGAACCGAAUCCAACAUCCCUUUAGUCUCGAGUAGUCAUCAUCUCUCAUCGGUUGACACAGGAAAAUGACUACCAAAAAGGAGCAACUUCCAUUCCUCUGAAUCAAGCCUCUGGCCUGUUAAGGAGCCUCUCAACCACAAGUGCUCUGUGGUUACUGCUGUCCAGAUGCAGCUCCGUCUGGCAGAGCUCCUGCGAUGCCGGAAAUGUUCCUCGGUUGCACUGUCUGAUGCAGGGGCUAUGCAGUACACGUGGAUGGCCAGCACUUGCGUUGUGGCCAGAGUGGCAUUUUAUUUAUUUAUGGUUGGAAAAACAUUGCCUCUGAUUUUCUUGCAGUGAGGAAAUAAAGUCAUACAGAUAAAG
rnacentral:lncRNA from 1 species